CGCUUGCUUAAAGGGGCCGUAGCAGGUUUUGUAAAUUUCUUGUGAGACUGCCAGGCUUAACUUGGCGAUGUGCAGGAAACACUGCAAGGCUUGAGACCGGGAAGGGUCAGAGGUAUUCCUGAGGGAGCGGUAAAAUGCUAUAAUCUUAGGAGGACCACCGGUGGCGAAGGCGUCUGACUAGAACGGAUCUGACUGUGAGGGACGAAAGCUAGGGGAGCAAACCGGAUUAGAUACCCGAGUAGUCCUAGCUGUAAACGCUGUGAGCUAGGUGUCGCGUAUUCUACGGGAAUGCGCGGUGUCGUAAGGAAGCUACUAAGCUCACCGCCUGGGAAGUACGGUCGCAAGACUGAAACUUUAAGGAAUUGGCGGGGGCGCACCACAAGGGGUGCGGCGUGCGGUUUAAUCUAACUCAACACAGAGAACCUUACUAGGAGCGACGGCAAGAUGAAGGUCAUGCUGAAGACAUUACUCGAUGAGCCGAGAGGUGGUGCAUGGCCGUCGCCAGCUCGUGCUAUGAAGUGUCCAGUUAAGUCUGGCAACGAGCGAGACCUGUAUCUGCAAUUGCUAACGGCAUUACGGUGGACCGAGCACAUUGCAGGGACUGCCUUGGAAACAAGGAGGAAGGUGCAGGCUACGGUAGGUCCGCAUGCCCCUAAAAGCC
rnacentral:rRNA from 1 species